rnacentral:rRNA from 1 species
UACAGAGGGUGCGAGCGCUAAUCGGAAUUACUGGGCGUAAAGCGCGCGUAGGCGGCUUUGCAAGUCGGGUGUGAAAUCCCCAGGCUUAACCUGGGAACUGCAUUCGAGACUGCAUUGCUAGAGUAUGGGAGAGGGAAGUGGAAUUUCCGGUGUAGCGGUGAAAUGCGUAGAUAUCGGAAGGAACAUCAGUGGCGAAAGCGACUUCCUGGACCAAUACUGACGCUCAUGUGCGAAAGCGUGGGGAGCAAACAGG